AGAGUUUGAUUCCCUGCUCAGGACGAACGCUGGCGGCGUGCUUAACACAUGCAAGUCGAACGAUGAAGCCCAGCUUGCUGGGUGGAUUAGUGGCGAACGGGUGAGUAACACGUGAGUAACCUGCCCUUGACUCUGGGAUAAGCGCUGGAAACGGCGUCUAAUACCGGAUAUGACAACCGACGGCAUCGUCUGGUUGUGGAAAGAAUUUUGGUCAAGGAUGGACUCGCGGCCUAUCAGCUUGUUGGUGAGGUAAUGGCUCACCAAGGCGACGACGGGUAGCCGGCCUGAGAGGGUGACCGGCCACACUGGGACUGAGACACGGCCCAGACUCCUACGGGAGGCAGCAGUGGGGAAUAUUGCACAAUGGGCGAAAGCCUGAUGCAGCAACGCCGCGUGAGGGACGACGGCCUUCGGGUUGUAAACCUCUUUUAGCAGGGAAGAAGCGAAANUGACGGACCUGCAGAAAAAGCACC
rnacentral:rRNA from 1 species